rnacentral:rRNA from 1 species
UUGGCCUCGGAUCAGGUGGGGAUACCCGCUGAACUUAAGCAUAUCAAUAAGCGGAGGAAAAGAAACCAACAGGGAUUGCCUCAGUAACGGCGAGUGAAGCGGCAACAGCUCAAAUUUGAAAUCUGGCUCACGCCCGAGUUGUAAUUUGUAGAGGAUGUUUCGGGUGAAGCCGCGGUCCAAGUCCCUUGGAACAGGACGUCAUAGAGGGUGAGAACCCCGUACCUGGCCGCCGGUGCCCCCGCUGUGAAACUCCUUCGACGAGUCGAGUUGUUUGGGAAUGCAGCUCUAAAUUGGUGGUAAAUUCCAUCUAAAGCUAAAUACCGGCCAGAGACCGAUAGCGCACAAGUAGAGUGAUCGAAAGAUGAAAAGCACUUUGAAAAGAGAGUUAAAAGUACGUGAAAUUGUUGAAAGGGAAGCGCUUGCGGCCAGACUUGCCUGCGGUUGCUCAUCCCGCCUUUUGGCGGGUGCACUCUUCCGCAGUCAGGCCAGCAUCGGUUUGGGCGGUCGGAUAAAGGCGCUGGGAACGUGGCCUCCCCUCGGGGAGGUGUUAUAGCCCGGCGCGCAAUGCGACCAGCCCGGACCGAGGUUCGCGCUUUGCUAGGAUGCUGGCGUAAUGGCCGUAAGCGGCCCGUCUUGAAACACGGACCAAGGAGUCUAACAUCUAUGCGAGUGUUUGGGUGUCAAACCCGUGCGCGUAAUGAAAGUGAACGGAGGUGGGAACCGCAAGGUGCACCAUCGACCGAUCCUGAUGUCUUCGGAAGGAUUUGAGUAAGAGCAUAGCUGUUGGGACCCGAAAGAUGGUGAACUAUGCGUGAAUAGGGUGAAGCCAGAGGAAACUCUGGUGGAGGCUCGCAGCGGUUCUGACGUGCAAAUCGAUCGUCAAAUUUGCGUAUAGGGGCGAAAGACUAAUCGAACCAU